AGCUGCGUAGUUUAAUUAAAAAUUUUUAUUUGUGGUAUAAAAGAUUUGGUAGCUA
rnacentral:tRNA from 1 species